CAAUAGCGUAUAUUAAAGUUGUUGCAGUUAAAAAGCUCGUAGUUGGAUUUGUGGCUGUCACGGGCGGCCUAUCACUUAGUGUUAGUGCUUGCCUGUGUCGCCAUCCUUGGGUGGAGCCCGUGUGGCAUUAGGUUGUCGUGCGGGGGAUGCCCAUCGUUUACUGUGAGAAAAUUAGAGUGUUCAAAGCAGGCUUAUGCCAUUGAAUAUGUUAGCAUGGAAUAAUAAGAUAGGACCUCGGUACUAUUUUGUUGGUUGGCGCACCGAGGUAAUGAUUAAUAGGGACAGUUGGGGGUAUUCGUAUUUCAUUGUCAGAGGUGAAAUUCUUGGAUUUCUGAAAGACGAACUACUGCGAAAGCAUUUACCAAGGAUGUUUUCAUUAA
rnacentral:rRNA from 1 species